rnacentral:rRNA from 1 species
UACGUAGGGUGCAAGCGUUGUCCGGAAUUAUUGGGCGUAAAGGAGCUCGUAGGCGGUCUGUUGCGUCGGCUGUGAAAACCCCGAGGCUCAACCUCGGGCCUGCAGCCGAUACGGGCAGACUAGAGUUCGGCAGGGGAGACUGGAAUUCCUGGUGAUAGCGGUGAAAUGCGCAGACUAUCAGGGAAGAACACCCGUGGCGAAAGGCGGCU